UACGUAGGGUGCGAGCGUUAAUCGGAAUUACUGGGCGUAAAGCGCGCGCAGGCGGCUAUGUAAGUCUGAUGUUAAAGCCCGAGGCUCAACCUCGGUUCGCAUUGGAAACUGUGUAGCUUGAGUGCAGAAGAGGAAAGCGGUAUUCCACGUGUAGCGGUGAAAUGCGUAGUGAUGUGGAGGAACACCAGUGGCGAAGGCGGCUUUCUGGUCUGUAACUGACGCUGAGGCGCGAAAGCGUGGGGAGCAAACAGG
rnacentral:rRNA from 1 species